rnacentral:rRNA from 1 species
CACGCAGGUGGCUGAGUCAGUCGAUUGUGAAAGCCCUGGGCUUAACCUGGGAAUUGCAGUCGAUACUACUCGGCUAGAGUAUGGGAGAGGGUAGUGGAAUUCCCGGUGUAGCGGAGAAAUGCGUAGAUAUCGGGAGGAACAUCAGUGGCGAAGGCGGCUACCUGGCCCAAUACUGACACUCAGGUGCGACAGCGUGGGGAGCAAACA